rnacentral:lncRNA from 1 species
GCAGCAUUAAAUAGUAUUGUUACAUAUGUAAUAAAUCUAACAUUGUGCUACAUUAUUUUCUAAAGUAAAUUAAAAAUUAAAUAGCAAAAUCAGUUUUUAUAAACAAAGUUUUUGAACAUAAUAAGCCAACACAUAAAAAAUAAUAUACAUAGUUGUUGCAGGUUAAUCAUGUGAUUAAAAGUAAUUUUGACAAUGUUAUUCAUGAAUUAUCUUCACUGACUUCAUAAACAAAUUUUAUUGUAAAAGCAUAAUCACGCAUUCAUGAUUCACUGAGAAUCACACAGACAUUAUUAUUAUGACACAUGAAUCAGAAGAUAUGCAAGUCCAAAGAAUUCUCCGGUGCAUUCCAUAGGCCAGCAAAAACAUGACUUUGCCAGCUUCUCUUACAAUUUGUGAAUCAUACUUUUGAAUGCCAAUAAAUCUCAA